rnacentral:lncRNA from 10 species
GAAAGUGAAGGUGAUCCGGCUGGGCCCUGAUCAGCAGCAUUGAUUCAGGGUUGAUUCAGUUGAUCUGACUGAGCAGGUGAGUUCCCCUUUCUUCCCUCAUUCCUCUUGAGGCCUUCAUACUUGGGCAAAGAAAGUGACUUUCCUGGGUAGAUGAAGAUUGUUCUUAAGGUAAGAAUGGAAGGAGAAGGAGACAAUUUUAUGCUGCUUUCUGGAUGGAAUGAGCAACAGUGC